GUCGAGGAGGGUGAAUGGAAUCCCACCUCAUAAAGCCGAUGAUCCAGUGUUGGCGCACCGGGGAGGCUUUAAGAUGAUGGUCGCAGGUUCGAAUCCUGCCCUCGACGCCA
rnacentral:tRNA from 1 species